rnacentral:rRNA from 1 species
AUUGAACGCUGGCGGCAGGCCUAACACAUGCAAGUCGAGCGGAUGAAGGGAGCUUGCUCCUGGAUUCAGCGGCGGACGGGUGAGUAAUGCCUAGGAAUCUGCCUGGUAGUGGGGGAUAACGUCCGGAAACGGGCGCUAAUACCGCAUACGUGCUGAGGGAGAAAGUGUGGGAUCUUCGGACCUCACGCUAUCAGAUGAGCCUAGGUCGGAUUAGCUAGUUGGUGGGGUAAAGGCCUACCAAGGCGACGAUCCGUAACUGGUCUGAGAGGAUGAUCAGUCACACUGGAACUGAGACACGGUCCAGACUCCUACGGGAGGCAGCAGUGGGGAAUAUUGGACAAUGGGCGAAAGCCUGAUCCAGCCAUGCCGCGUGUGUGAAGAAGGUCUUCGGAUUGUAAAGCACUUUAAGUUGGGAGGAAGGGCAGUAAGUUAAUACCUUGCUGUUUUGACGUUACCAACAGAAUAAGCACCGGCUAACUUCGUG